AACGCACAUUGCGCCCGCUAGUAUCCUGGCGGGCAUGCCUGUUCGAGCGUCAUUUCAACCUUCAGGACCUCCUGGUGUUGGGGCGUUAGGGGAACCUAAGCCCUCAAAGUCAGUGGCGGGCUCUGUCACACACCGAGCGUAGUAAUCUCUCGCUUAGGGGUGUGCCGGGGCGCGGCCUACUUACACUUUUAUCAAGUUGACCUCGGAUCAGGUAGGAAUACCCGCUGAACUUAA
rnacentral:misc_RNA from 1 species